GCUGGGUGUGGUGGCGCACACCUGUAGUUCCAGCUACUCGGGAGGCUGAGGCAGGAGAAUUGCUUGAACCCAGGAGGUGGAGGUUGCAGUGAGCUGAGAUCACACCACUGCACUCCAGCCUAGGUGACAAAGCGAGACUCUGUCUCAA
rnacentral:SRP_RNA from 1 species